CUCAUUUGAUCAUCGUUUGACUCCUCGCCACCCCGACCUCAGCACUAGCCGUUCCGCGCGCCCUGCAGUCGGCACUGAUCAGACCUGAUGCACGCCACCUUUCCCCCGGUCACAGUGUCUCAGUCCUGCCUGUCAGAAGUGACUGACUGUGGCGGUUAAAGCGUUAACUCCCGCCGGCUUAAGCUUGAGAAGAGGAUCGGCAGCGUUAUGGGGAGGCCUGCGUUUCGUCUGUCUCUCUGACCUGGACCAGGCCACAUCAGUUUCCUCAUCUGUAAAAUGGGGGUAUUGGACAUGAUUUGAUUUUCCGGUUCUUUUGUUCAGUGACUUUCUGAGGCCGAUGGUGAAAUCUUUCCAAGGGACAAGGAAAAACCACAGAUGAGAGCCAGCCCUGAUGGCUUAGUGGUUAAAGUUUGGUGCACUCCACUUCAGCCUCCUGGUUGAAUGUUAGCUUAGGGCGAAUCUUCCCCUGCAAAAAUAAGAAUAUAAAUAAACAAACUAGAAAUGAUUGAUGGCGCAAACCCAACGGAAGUUUACAGGACAGAAAGCAGGAAGGACAUGCCCAGUGGCAUAGCAGUGCGUGCGGGCACAGCGGGGAGGAUGGGGAGGGGAGGACUCCACCCCUUCUGGAUCAGCAUUGGGUUCUCAAAAAACCGAAAGAUUAAACCGCAGGUUCCGUUAUGGGUCGACUUGAUGGGAAGGUCAUCGUCCUGACAGCUGCUGCUCAGGGGAUCAGCCGGGCCACUGCCAUAGCUUUUGCAAGAGAAGGUGCCAAAGUCAUAGCCACAGAUAUCAAUGAGUCCAAACUUCAAGAACUGGAAAAGUACCCGGGUAUUCAGACUCGAGUCCUGGAUGU